rnacentral:rRNA from 1 species
GGAAUUGUUCGCAAUGGGCGCAAGCCUGACGACGCAACGCCGCGUGGAGGAUGAAGGGCUUCGGCUCGUAAACUCCUUUCGACCGAGAUGAAUACCCGCAGGGCUAACAUCCCUGCGGACUGACAGUAUCGAGGGAAGAAGCCCCGGCUAACCCCGUGCCAGCAGCCGCGGUAAUACAGAGGGUGCAAGCGUUAAUCGGAUUUACUGGGCGUAAAGCGUGAGUAGGUGGCUCGCUAAGUCGGUUGUGAAAGCCCUGGGCUCAACCUGGGAAUUGCAGUCGAUACUGGCGAGCUAGAGUUCGGUAGAGGGUGACGGAAUUCCCGGUGUAGCGGUGAAAUGCGUAGAUAUCGGGAGGAACAUCGAUGGCGAAGGCAAUCACCUGGGCCUGAACUGACACUGAGACACGAAAGCGUGGGUAGCAAAC